rfam:Morus notabilis contig6508, whole genome shotgun sequence.
GGACGGUGAUGAUUAUUGUGAUAAAAGGUCUCGUUCAUUGUAAUGGGCUCUAUAGCCCUUGCCGACCAUCCUGAUAUAUCACCACCCAUAUUCCGAGUUC